GGUCAGGCUGGAUGGGGCUCUGAGCAACCUGAUGUAGCUGCUGGUGUCUCUGUUCAUUGCGGGGAAGUUGGACCAGAUGGCCUUUAAUGGUUCCUUCCAACUCAAAUGAUUCUAUGGUUCUAUGAUAUAUGUCUCUUAAUUUCAAUGGACAGUGUUUAAUUAGUCAACUAAUUUUAACCAUGAAAACUUUAAGAAAAAAACUUGACAAGUACUUACUUAUCACUGGUUUUACAGCACUUUGCUUUUUAAAGUAGUUAAAUUUUAGCACUAUGAUUGCAAACUGAGGGUGAUUUGAGAAGAGAGAUUGCUUGCUUGGGAUCUUUCUUAGGAUACUUUUCAAAAAAACGGUGUAAUCAGUAUAACAAGUGGGUGCAAUAGCAGUAUCACCCAUGCUACAAAACGCUUAGUAAAUUAAUGUCUUUUGAAAGUAGUGGCAUUGUUCUUUUGCUCAGAGAGAUCUAAAAUGUCAACUAAUGGAUAAAUACUCAUUUUCUUUGAAGAGCAGUUUGUAAUUUUCUCUUGGGAUGAAUGAUUUCCCCAAAUUCAAGCACAUCACAUUGGUGCAUUUGAAAGCUGAGUGAACAGAAUUGUAUUUUUCAAGUAAUAAAUUCUCUAAAAAGGAAAUCACAUUAGUUUGAUGAAUACAGUGAAUGGUUGUUUGUUAUACACAAUUAACCUCCAUUAAUUGGAGUGGUGAGCUCACAGAAGAGGGACUGCUAGAUAGAUACAAUGAUUUUUGUGAGGAGAAGACAUUUCAGAUAACUUGCCAAAAUAACUUCAUCUCCGGCUGAUGGCACUAAGUUAUGAGUGCGGUACAAAUGAAAGCUGUCUGGGGAGUUAUGGAAGGGCUUCAGGACACUGAGUGAUCAAAAAGUAAACAGGUGAAAUUCAGUGCUGAUGGACAGAGAGCAGCACACAUGCAAACUUUCUUCCAGCUCUAAGGAAAGAGCUUGGGCUGUAACUGUUUUAUAAAAAUAGCAGUGUGGAGGUGCAGGCAAAAUGUAAAAAUAAGUCUGACUGGAAUUGCCGGCAGAGGCGUAAAGAACAAAACAGAGAUCACUGUUGUGCUACGGCUUAAUUCCUCAGCUGAACUAUCUGUUGAAUACCAACCAGAUUUUGGUCACAUGCAUGAACUCAGCUAACAGCAUUGUGUGCAUGUGCAGGUCAGGUGGACCUGCAGGCUGUGGUUUCACUCACUGGUAGCUUCUAAACAGCAGAAAGCACCUCUGUGCUGUGCGGGUGACAGAGCACUGGCACGGGCUGCCCAGAGAGGCUGUGGGGUCUUCUUCUUGGAGAUCUUCAAAAGUCACCUGGACAAGGGCCUGGGCAUGCUGCUCUAAGUGUCCCUGCUGGAGCAGGGGUUGGGCCAGAUGGAGCCGGAGGGUCCUUCCAGCCUCAGCUAUUCUGUGGUUCCUUGCUGCGCAUACUUAGCCAUCACACUCCCAUUUGCAGGCAUGUAAACAGGCACACCCACAAAACACAAAUCAGACAUAAAUCAGCAGAGACAUUUCUGUAUGAGCCCGAGGACAACCCAGUACAACAGUUCCCAGAGCUGAGGGCCACUGCUCCUGGCUGUGGAGGCACUGAUGUCAAAAAGCUGAGUGCAGCAGGAAGCCCAGCUAGCAGCAGUCCCAUCUCAGGCCUGGGAGUGUGUGGGGCCUCAGCCAGGUCUGGGCUGCCCACAGGGGAUGUGUGUUGUGAAGUUUGGGAUGUUACUGUACAGAGAUAAGGGGGAAGUGGGGUGUCACAGUUCUGUCAAGAGCAGUGCCAGUGAAAUGUCUGAUUUCACAAUCCGUUUUUGUCCUUGGGGAAAAAAAAAUGUUAUCAGCUCUGUCUCCCUCUAUUUAAUUUAGUGGCCAUCGGGGACAAUUGCUCAGUCAUAGAGAGAUGAGUUUCAGUGACUGCUGCCCUGAUACCGUAAGCUUUCCUGCUUCUGCAAGCACUGAAGCCUGAUAUAUAUCCUGCAGAAUGGAGAAGAAUGGAGCAUUUUCCACUUUAGGUCUUUGCUCAAGGAGUCAUUCUGUGGCCUCACCAAGGUCCGCACACCCAACGAAUCUGACUGCAGCAAAAAGAGUUCCUCACUUCGAUUAUCUUACAGAGAAGGGCAAAACUGGAUGAUUAGAUUUAGUUUGCCAUUUUGACAGCUAGAAGUGGACGUUCUGCUCUCCUGGAUUAAAAACCUGUUUAACCCUACUAAUUUCAUUUGGACCAAGUACAAGGUCACUCCAGGGCACAUGGGCAUUCACUGCUACCCUCCCAUGGAAUGGAGAUGCUCCAGCCCCAUUGCCUGCAGACUCAGCUGUAGAAUGGGCUUCUUGUGGACUCCCUGUUCUCUCAACUCACACCAGAAUUUCACCUGGGGAGUUUCUGGAGAGCUGUGCUUCCUUUUUCCAGAGGCCUUGGGAGGCUGGGGUGCUGACGCAGCUUUCCGAUAUGUUGCAUGUUGACAUGACAUCCCGGUGUGGCAGAGAGAAGACCUUUAGUGCUGACGUGCCACAACUCCGUGGACUCAGAAGUGAAGAUGCAAAAGCCCAGCACAACAGGACUACAAGAAAGACACUGAGGCCCUGGAGUGUGACCAGAGAAGAGACACAAAGCUGUGUGAGCUACAGAGAACCCUGCCUGGCAGGUAAACCCACAUGAGGAGCACACCUGAAUGCUGAGAACCCCUAGGAACUUUGUGGCCAUCUAUCAGCACCGACACAUAGAAACUGAGGAAUUGGAGCACACCUGCAGCCUCCUGGAAGCCAGACUGAGAGAAAAGAGGCUCCUGAAGGAAUAUUGGCAGCUGUUCCUGGGCAGCGCUGCACUGAAAAAGUUGCUGUGACGAGAAAAUUGUAGGCCAGAAUGAGGAUGUGAAAUAAUGCUGAUCUCCAGCAGUUACAAGCUGAAAAGGAGGAGCUUGAAGAAAAACAUCAGGGGACUAAAUGCUGGGAUAUAUGAUGAACAAAAUAUUCCCACAUGCUGGAACUCAGUAUGUAAGUGAAGCUCUGAUGUUAAGCACAAAACCAGGGAAAAAUGUAGCCGUAGGGAAGGAGUUGUAGGUGCACACUUAAAGUAUGACCCUGCUAAGUCUUCCCUCUGAAGCCUGGAGAAGUACCAGGCCGCGUAUUAAUGGGCGCAUGUGUGUCCAUUGUACUCAGGGCUCUGCAGACCUUGCCUGCAAGUUGUUCAGUGCUCCCACAUAGAAUUCAUAGAAUAUCCUGAGCUGGAAGAGACCCACAAGGAUCGUCAAGGCUAACUCCAGGCUCCACAAAGGACCAUCCAAGAAGCAGACCAUACGUCCGAGAGUGUGCCCUGGGCAGCCUCUUCCAUGCCCACCUCCUUCUGGUGAAGGACCUUUCUCUAACCUCCACUUGACCCUCCCUGGAUACUGGCUACCUGCCUUUCCCUCAGGCCCUGUCACUGUCACCAGAGAGCAGAGCUCAGCACUGCCCCUCUGCUCCCUGUGAGGAGCUGCAGGCUGCAGUGAGGCCUCCCCUCAGCCUCAGCUUAAUUCAGUUAGUGUUUGAUUUGAACAACCAGCCCCAAAGCCUGCAUAAAUAUAUGUAUUUCAGAGGAAAAAUGGAUUACUGCAAGCUACAUCAACUGACCUAACUUCUCUGCAAAGCUGGUGCCCCUUUGUGCUUAAAGGACUAUGUGUGGGCAGCUGAGUUAAUUCCUGCAUCCCAGCUGAAGGACAGUAACCUCUGGCUAAGGACAAACCUUUGAAACAGGGGGAAAGAAAUGCACUGAUGACUGUGGUAGACUCUGUCAAGGAAGACGAUACCUUACUUUUUUCCACACCACUGCGGACAUCAAGUGCUACAGGUGCUGUGUUGGUGACCAAGCUAGAGUUCGCACCAGGGCUCUUGGGAGCUGAGAAGAAUGUGAGAACUGAAGACAGCGUUCCUCUACACAUGCUGGGAGAGAAUCAUCCACUCAUCCAUUUUGCUUAACAGAGUAGAAGUGACCAUGUAAUAGAGACCCAGUGAACAGGAGCCAGGAGCACUGACUUUAGUAAGUAAAGGCUACACACCAUGUCCUCGGCCUUUCCAGAAUGCAGCAAGGAUGCAUCAAGAAGGAAGUCCUCUUAUCUAUAUCAUCAGUCUGGCAAGCAGCUAAAUGUUGAGACUGAUGAAGUGCAAUGGCUGUUGCUGUGCUGUCCACGAUGACAACUUGGGCUGCAGAGAUGUCCCUUACUGCAGAGACCUUAGGAUAAAAUGUCCUAAGAGGCAGCAGAGACAAGAGGACUUUUAAUUUGAAGAUCAUUGAGAUAGCGGUUUGUGAGUCGUGAAUAAGAAGUAACCCCUGUAACCAGUCUCUAGAUGAUUCAUUUCACUUUCAAUACUGCAAGACAAAUUUGUUCUAAUCUAUGGGCUUCAGAGGAGCUGGACUUGAGAUGAAUUUGUCCUGUUGUGUCUUCGCAACAUAUAGGAUUGGACACCGUACUUUGUCCUAUUGAAAACAAUAUUCAACAGCCUAAGGCCAGGGACCAGUCCCUGCAGAACCUCAUUAGAAACACCUCCACUUGACCAUAUUCUCCUGUUUACAGAAGUGAAAAAUGUAUUUGUAACUUGCGUGCAAAGGAAGGCCAAAAAAGAAUAGGUCUUGGAAGAUGAUGGGUGCAUAAUCACAGAAGAGAAUUAGUAGUAAAAAGCCUUCAGAAACAGAAAAAGAAGCGAUUAGAAAAGAAAACUACAUCUUAAUGCUCAUGAAGUAUCAGAACAACCAAGCAGCAUCUGGUAUUAUGAAAACCGUUAUAAGGGAUAAACAAAUGGGACCAUUUUCCCAGGGGGAUGUUAUGGUCCUACACUUAAAUGAAUACUCCAUUUCUCAGAAAGAAAAUUGAUUCUAUUUGAGUAAGUCUGGGCACAGAUGCAGGGAAAUGCCAUUUACUCUCCCCAAGGUGGAAGCAAAACUCAUGGAGGUCAGUGCAUAUGGAUCAGAUGGGCUGGGCAGUACUCAUUCUAUGUACUGAAUGAACUAGCACUGAGAUUGUAAAGUUUUUUAAUGAACCUAGCAGGCUGAGAGCUCUUACCAUAUGAGAAGCAAAUAGUAAAUGUACUGUCUGUUAUAUCAGAAGGGGAAAAAGCAACUUCAACAACAGGACCAUUGAAAGAAAGGAAGAAAAUAAACUGAUGAAGUGCAACUUGGUUUCAUGAAAAAUAAGUUGGGCCAGAGUUGCUUCAUGUUUUUCUUUGAUGAGAUAACUGAUUUUCUAGACAAGAAAAAAGUAGAUCUAGUUUAUCUGGAUUUUCUUUUUUUAUGCAGUACCACACAAGAAGUUAUUAGUUAUGCCAAAGUUUAUAAGGAGAUAAGGCACAGACUAGAAGGCAGAUAACAGCCUUGUAAUGAAAGAGGAAUCAACAGUACUGAAAUGAAUGAUUAGCACAUUCUGCAAAGACUGGUGUUGUGACUGAUACUCAGGUUUUUUCAUUGCUGAUAGGCAGAAUAAUUAAUCCAGUAUCCCUUGUAUAUAAAUGUAUUAUUAUAGUCCCAGUGGGAAUUUCCUUUGGUUGGUAAAUGAAUUUUUCAAAAUUUGAGGUGGGAGAAGGUUGGUCCACAAGGGUUGUUUUGGGAAGCAAUGUUCAAUGUCUUUUAUAGAUUACCUUGGCCUAAAAAAAUAGAUGUUUGUUAAGGAAAUUAGAAGGCUUGGUUAAUGCAAAGGCAGAUAAAGAUUUUCUAUAGAAGAAUAAGGCAACUUGGACAACUAGAACCAUGGAAACAUAUAAAAUGUAAUCCUGUACAAUGAAGAGCUAUGACUUUAGGGAUUCAUAUGAAGUCUGCUUGCUGCGCAAUGGGGACUCAUCAGCUGGAAACAGCUGAGGAGGAAAAAAACACAGAUGACAAUCUCCAAAUAAACCUUAUUGCCUAUGUAUGACCUAGACUGAUAUGAGAAAAAAAAUAUAUAAGUUUUUAACCCGA